GGGGGACAUGAUGGUGGCUCAGAUUACAGGGGCUACUCAGCAAGAAGCGGAAGGACUUCAGAGAGAUUUGGAGGCAAAACCCACAGGCUUACUGAUGAAUGGAACCGGUGGAGGUGUGUGAUGCGAUACUCAAAGGCAACCUGGUCAGGUGCACGAAGUCUAGGGUUCAGAAUCCAACAGGCUCAAAUUCAAGUCCAGCUCAGCCACGUGGCUGAGUGCUGUCUGAACCUCAGCGUCCUCAGCUGUUAAACAGAGUGUCUCUCGAGAAUGAAAAUGACCAGGCCAUCCUCACAUUCUACAGAGGUUAACCCAGCAACUUAGGGACACAGCUGGGGCAGGACUCCCGGGCUCCUGGUCAGUCCCUCUAUGGGGAUGCUAAGCCUCAGGGCUGACAUCUCUUAGCUCUGCCUUCCAGGGAGAAUUUCACAGGGCCUCCCAUUUGUGCUGCUGUGAAGGCCGUCCUGCUCCUUGUCAAGCCUGUCUUCUCCGUGGCUUGAGGAAGAUCUCUUUCGUGCCCAAAUUGUGAAUAAGUAAACUGGAUGCAGCAUCUCUGAUUGCUCU
rnacentral:lncRNA from 10 species